AACACCUUGGCUAAGUCUUGCCGCAAGGGGAGCUAGGCUGCAGUGUCGUGAUUUUUCAUCCGUGAGUGAGAAAGGUAUCUCAUUAUUUAUUGGCAUAUCAAUAUCUCUCCUCAAGUCAAAUUUUUUGUUUCUAAUUCUCGUUGGAAUCAACUUUUUGUUUGUUAGCUGUCUCGAAAGUUUAUCGAUACUGCUUCACAGCGGUCUUUGGUGGUGCUGGAUUCCUGCUCGGUGGUGUGACAACAAGCCCCGUCUCUAAGGGGCUCCGGGAAUAUGAAGAGCGCUUCGUUAAAGGUCUCCAACGUCUGGAAAAAAUGGAGGCCAGGAGGGGCAAGUGGAUUUCCUCUCUUAAAGAGAAAACCAAGUGACGGUAAUUGGUUGCGUCUGUUUGUUUCUGUUUUGUCUAUGUUUGCAGCCGUUGAUGAACACAUUAUCUGCCAAUCACUGUAAUAACUACUUCAUGGUUGUGUCUUAUAAAAUAUUUCUGUUAUAUGUGGCGCUUAGAUUGUGGCUAGAGGAGAAUUGUUUUGUAGAAAAUGAAAUUUCCACCCUUAAGAUUAGGUUUUGUGC